ensembl:snRNA U6 U6 spliceosomal RNA
GUGCUUGCUUAGCAGCACAUAUACUAAAAUUUGGAACAACACAGAAAGGAUUAGCAUGGCCCCUGUGCAAGGAUGACAUGCAAAUUCAUGAAGCGUUUCAUAGUUUA